rnacentral:tRNA from 1 species
GGAUGUAGCUCAGUGGUAGAGCUCCCACCCAGCAUGUGAAAGGCCCUGGGUUCAAGCCCCAGAACUG